UAUAGGAGAGUCAGAGGAUGAAGACGAAGAUAGCGAUGGUAGUGGCACCAGUUCCGCUGGUGAUAGCUGUUGGAAAAAUUAAUUAAAGAAAAAGAGAUUCGUGAAAGAUGAAAAUCUUUCACGGUCUUUACUGUGGAGGAAGGCACAUCAAAACAAAAAUGGAGAAUACGAUGGCGAUGAUGUUAGGGAAAAGGCAGCACAGCUUGAGGAGUUUGAUAAGCAGCUGGAAGUGGAAGAUGGAACUUUGACGAAAAAAGCAGGCACUGAGCUUGGCCUACAGAGUUUGUGAUCUUUAUUCCUUAAUUUAGUCUACCUGUUAUAACAAAUAUGUGGAACCAUGUACAUGCUUGUUGUAAUGUAGCUUAAUGCUAUAAUGCUGUGUGUUGUGUGAUACCUGGGUCCAAUUACUUAUUUUUCUGUAUUCUAGCUUUGGCUUGAAACCAACACUAGCAAAUAUGAGAUAACUGUAUUUUGUCCCCGCUGCACAUAUUUUCCCACAAUUCGCACAUGAGCAUAUAACUGUUAGCAUAAUACUAUUUAUAUGUUUUGAGGCAGUUAACAGAGAACAUUUAAGUUAUUACCUUAUGCAU